UUUGCAUGUUUAUUUUGAUUAUUCUUGCAGGUUGCACACAUAAUACUUGUGAGUCAAUACAUUUACAGCUACGUUGUGGGAAUUCAGAGUACCACAACAAAAGCAACAAAGAAGUCAAAAGCAAAGUCUAGAUGUCAAUGAAAGCACUAUUGUUACGAGGGAAACAUACCUUUGUUGGGGAGGCGUCAACCACAAUGAGGCAAACAAUUUCAAAGCAAUGGUACAGGAUAUGGGCAUGGUUAUUUAUUUACCAUAUCAGGAAAAGCUACAUAUGAAAUAUUACCUGCUUUAAAGUUCAACCUGUGUGGCCACUUUGCUCAACUCCAUCUUGCAAUGGACUUUCAAUGGAAAAUUUAUAUUUGUGGUAUUGCAAGUUCUUUGACGAUCAAAGUGAUUAAACAGUUAAACUAAUGAUAUGCAUAAAGUUUUUUUACAAAUCUUUUUUUUUUCUUUUACUAUAUUAAUUAUAUAUUUGAUAUUUUCAUUCAGUACAAUAUAUUAUUGCCCUUUUUGCAACUUAUGUGGGCUUGGAAAGGGUCUCGGAAUUCCUUAUUUCAUUGUAAGACGUGUAACUAUUGUUU